rnacentral:rRNA from 1 species
AGACCCGAAACCCGGUGAUCUAGCCAUGGGCAGGUUGAAGGUUGGGUAACACUAACUGGAGGACCGAACCGACUAAUGUUGAAAAAUUAGCGGAUGACCUGUGGCUGGGGGUGAAAGGCCAAUCAAACCGGGAGAUAGCUGGUUCUCCCCGAAAGCUAUUUAGGUAGCGCCUCGUGAAUUCAUCUCCGGGGGUAGAGCACUGUUUCGGCUAGGGGGCCAUCCCGGCUUACCAACCCGAUGCAAACUGCGAAUACCGGAGAAUGUUAUCACGGGAGACACACGGCGGGUGCUAACGUCCGUCGUGAAGAGGGAAACAACCCAGACCGCCAGCUAAGGUCCCAAAGUCAUGGUUAAGUGGGAAACGAUGUGGGAAGGCCCAGACAGCCAGGAUGUUGGCUUAGAAGCAGCCAUCAUUUAAAGAAAGCGUAAUAGCUCACUGGUCGAGUCGGCCUGCGCGGAAGAUGUAACGGGGCUAAACCAUGCACCGAAGCUGCGGCAGCGACGCUUAUGCGUUGUUGGGUAGGGGAGCGUUCUGUAAGCCGUUGAAGGUGGCCUGUGAGGGUUGCUGGAGGUAUCAGAAGUGCGAAUGCUGACAUAAGUAACGAUAAAGCGGGUGAAAAGCCCGCUCGCCGGAAGACCAAGGGUUCCUGUCCAACGUUAAUCGGGGCAGGGUGAGUCGACCCCUAAGGCGAGGCCGAAAGGCGUAGUCGAUGGGAAACGGGUUAAUAUUCCCGUACUUGGUGUUACUGCGAAGGGGGGACGGAGAAGGCUAUGUUGGCCGGGCGACGGUUGUCCCGGUUUAAGCGUGUAGGUGUGUGUUCCAGGUAAAUCCGGUU